UACGAAGGGGGCUAGCGUUGUUCGGAAUCACUGGGCGUAAAGCGCACGCAGGCGGAUUGAUAAGUCAGGGGUGAAAUCCCGGGGCUCAACCUCGGAAUUGCCUUUGAUACUGUCUGUCUUGAGUUCGGGAGAGGUUGGCGGAAUUCCUAGUGUAGAGGUGAAGUUCGUAGAUAUUAGGAAGAACACCAGUGGCGAAGGCGGCCAACUGGCCCGAUACUGACGCUCAUGUGCGAAAGCGUGGGGAGCAAACAGG
rnacentral:rRNA from 1 species